ACCCAAAUCGAAUAUUAACCGGAUUUACAAUCGAAUUGAACCAAAAGUAAAAUCUCAAACCCAAAACCUAAUGUUAAACCCUCACCGUUGUACGAACCGAAUCACCAACUCCUACUAACCCCUACUACGUACAAUGCUUUCUCUCCAAACUACCUCCUUGCUUCCGCUGCGUAUCCGCAUCUCGUAGCAGUGUCGCUAAACCCAAGACUCCUUUUCUCCGUUUACUUUACGCCGUCUCCAGCAUCACAGAUCUGCAGAGUCGUCGUGAGUCAAGCUUUCUUCCAAUCUCCAUCGCCGUCCUCUAGUAGUAUGGGUCUACGCCUCGCACUGACGAAAAAAAAAAGAGAUCUAGUCUCCUAGUUCACCUCGAUUUACCGGCCAAUGCUCAAACUUGAAAAAAAAAAAGAGAAAAAAACGAUGAAGGAAGGUUGACAGCUGCUAGGGCGAACUAGAGAGAAGUCUUGGAACGAUUGUCUUUUUUUCUUUUUUUCUUGAUAUGAUCUAUCUUUAUGCCUUUAAAUUAGCGUGAUGAUUGAAUAAUCUUAUACCAAAACUAUAAAAAAAUCGGUGGUAGAGAAAACUCAGAAAAAUGACGACCUGGUUGCAAGAUUAUUAUAUGAUUAGCU
rnacentral:lncRNA from 1 species